AGCUUUGCGCAGUGGUAAUAUCAUAGCUAAUGAAGGUUUAUUGAGGUGUGAUUAUUUCUAUUUGAAAACUUUACCCAAUAUCCUGUUAAGAUUGUUUUAUGACAGACUUGGCAGUUUUUUACCAUCUCUGAGGAU